rnacentral:lncRNA from 1 species
AGUGAGCAAUGCAAUUCUGGGAAUGUUCAGGCUCUCUCUGUUCUUUCCUCUCUUGCAAACCAUGGGCACCCUUGGGUCCCUUGGGGUCACUAUGUUACACCUGCUUUUUAUCUGUCUGGGCAAGAGCUGCUCAAGCCACACCUUGUGACACUGAGGAGGACAGCACAUUGCACUCUCACCUCCUUUGCAGUUAAGUGUGAAAUAGUGCCAAUAGAGUGUAAAAGAAAAGAAAGAAGAUGAUUCACCUCCCAAAGAUUCCCCACUGCUGUGUCCCUUCUAUCAACUUGAUACAAAAAAACACAAUGGCCCCGGGAACCACGUGUUGAAGAUGAGAGAGCUAAAAGAUGGAAAGAGACUGGAGCCCUGAGUCACCACCUGGAGGAAAACUACCCACCCAUCAGGAAUUUCUACUACACAUUUGGGAGUUUUUGGGGUUACAGCAGCUAAUUUAACGAAAACACCCAGAGACAAGAGCUAUUACUGCACAAAUUGGUUAAGUUACCUUUUUGUAUGUUUGGGUCCUCUCUAUUCGAUGAGACUGCGCGUUCCUUUGAAGCAAAUCUGUUUAAAAUUCUUAUAUCCCCAGAGGGCCUAGCAGAGAGUAUGCACAGAGUGAGCCUUCAGUAAAUGCUGAGUAAAUAAGCUCCUAAUGGAUGAAACUGUGUCUUCGAAGUUUGUUCUGACCAGUACUUAGUAUAGGAUUUUGUGCUGUUGGUCACUUUUCAUAAAGGUUCUUGCUAUUAAGGAACUUGACAUCCAAUGUACUCAUAGAAAGUAGAAAUUCAGGGGAAACAAAUAGAAGAGAUAUGUCCAAAAAUCCAUUUAAAAUUUCAUUGACAGAUAUUUAUCUCUUUAAUCCUGGAAGUUGUUUCAUGUAAGGGAAGGUUCAGUAGAAUGAAAACAGGACUGUAAGCUGGGAGGAGAUUUGGGGUCUCUUGGCCAACUCUGCCACAAAUUGUGUUACCUUCAACUUCCCUGCCUGUAAAAUGAAGUCAGUGGUCCCUAAAAUGAAAUUGGACUAAUGGCAAAUUAGCUAGCAUUUGAUUAUACAUCGAUAGUUUCCCCAUGUGAUUUUAACGCACAAAUCAGAUUUUGGAACCAUUAGGUAGGUGAUCUUAUCUUAUGAGUUUAUCUUUUUCAACAUGGAAAAAUAAAUUUGUUUUGCUGACCGAAGGCUGUGUAACUUAGAACUGGAAAGAGACAUGUAAUUGAAUAACCCAUCUCUAUGGGGCAAAAAAAUGAAACACCUUUAGUUUGUUCAAAGAUGAAAUGGAAAAAUAAACAUGUUUUAAGAUG